AGUGAACGCUGGCGGUAGACCUAACACAUGCAAGUCGAACGGCAGCACAGUAAGAGCUUGCUCUUACGGGUGGCGAGUGGCGGACGGGUGAGGCAUACAUCGGAAUCUACUUUUUCGUGGGGGAUAACGUAGGGAAACUUACGCUAAUACCGCAUACGACCUACGGGUGAAAGCAGGGGAUCUUCGGACCUUUCGCGAUUGAAUGAGCCGAUGUCGGAUUAGCUAGUUGGCGGGGUAAAGGCCCACCAAGGCGACGAUCCGUAGCUGGUCUGAGAGGAUGAUCAGCCACACUGGAACUGAGACACGGUCCAGACUCCUACGGGAGGCAGCAGUGGGGAAUAUUGGACAAUGGGCGCAAGCCUGAUCCAGCCAUACCGCGUGGGUGAAGAAGGCCUUCGGGUUGUAAAGCCCUUUUGUUGGGAAAGAAAAGCAGCAGGUUAAUACCCCGCUGUUCUGACGGUACCCAAAGAAUAAGCACCGGCUAACUUCGUG
rnacentral:rRNA from 1 species